UAGAUUGCAUCAGGCGUAACACUCGCCUAUGCUAUCGUUGUUCUUUGGAACUAUGGACAUAAACGCGCUCGUAAUAAGCGGAUCGGACCCGGGGGCGGUACCCGGCGACUCCACCAAAUAUCCUUUCAUUUGGGGGAUCAUGGGGUCGAAACAGGAUCGACGGACGUCUAAAGGGGUUAGCUUUGUCUCGGCUGUCUGCCACCGUUACCGGCGAAACUUGUACAAUUGCAAAUGACAAUCGUGCUCCGGUAGCCGUUGCUGCGUAAGCAGUAACCUAUACCGAAACUUAAGUCCUGUCGCCUAGCCGCGGCAGGCGGGGUUCGCAGGCACCUGGCAACAGAAGCCUGCACU
rnacentral:tmRNA from 1 species